rnacentral:tRNA from 1 species
GGAGGGGUCGCAUAGUGGCCUAGUGCGGGCGCCUGCUAAGCGCUUAGGGGUAGAAAUGCCUCUCGCGGGUUCGAAUCCCGCCCCCUCCGCCG